rnacentral:lncRNA from 1 species
CUGGGAUCUGGAUUCUCUGUGGGACGAUUUCUCCCGAAGCCUCGCCGGCGGCAGCCACGAGUUGCUGGCCUUCCUCACCGGGGCCCGUGCGGGAUCGCAGCCAGAGGCGCCGAGCGAGCUCGACGUGGUUCUCAGAACCGUCAUCCCGAAAACAAGCCCGCUCUGCCCGCUUGCUGCUCCGAGGAGAGAAGUUGUCGUGCAAGGUAGGAGUGUUUCCGGUAGCGAGGGGUGCCGGAGAUCAAGGCGGACGCCAGUCAAAGCGGCAAGGAGAGAGACGGAUUUUAAUUACAAAUACAUUAUUGCAGUAGGGAGAGGUGUGGGGCCUGAACUGAGCUCCACCUGCAUUUGUGCAGAGUUGACCGGCGUUUGAAAGGGAGAGGGCGGGAGUAGGGAGGUGGUGGGGGGCUCCGCAGAGUGAGAGAAGUGACAGUUAAGGAAAGACAGAGGAUUGGAGUGAGUGAGUCCUUCAGAUGUGGACUUCAGCGUUACCAGAUCGGCUUCGCUGCAGGGGAGAGGCAGUGCUCCUCUACAAGGAGGGCCGGGUUUUUCGUUUUUUUAAGUUUAUUUUUGAGAGAGAGAGCACAACGGGGGGAGGGGGAGAGAGAGAGAGAGAGAGAGAGGGAGGCACAGAAUCCGAAGCAGGCUCCAGGCUCCGAGCUGUCAGCCCAGAGCCCGAUGUGGGGCUCGAACUCACGGAUUGUGAGAUCAUGACCUGAGCUGAAGUCGGACGCUCAACCGACUGAGCCCCCCCAGGCCCCCAGGACUGCCGGCUUUGGGACUGCUUUCUCCCUUGUGCGCCUGGCACCGUGCAGCCUCGGGAUGCAGCAGUGGAUGGGACAUAUGAGCAUGUCUGACCUCCUGGGCGCUAUGGUAAAUGGAGCGACGAAAAGCCAUGGGCGAGCAGAAGCCUGCUAAUUUAUUACUGUUUUUAUUGACUCUUCUGCUAAAAUGCUGACAAACUGUUUAAUUGAUUAUCCCUGUGUCCCGCUCCCCCAGAUGUCCUCCACGGAACUGUAACAUUUUUACCUUUGGAAGAAGAUGACAAAGGGAGCGUAAAGGUUGAGACAGACAACGUGUAUCAAAUCCGGCUGGGUCAGAGCAAAGAAGAAUGGUAAGAACUGAAUAGUGGCUUCCUCCUCCGGCACUUUGUUUUCAGGCGAGUGUUUGAGUAGCUGCAAGAUUCAGGCCCUGCGAGAACUGAAGGGGCAGCUCCGGUGUGAGAACCUUCCUGGGAGACUUUGUCCCUUGUUGGCCCCUGUGUGGGGGUGGGGCGGUCACCGCCUGGCCUGAGUCUGUGUUCUUCAUGUUCGUGAAGCCUUGAGAACUAGUAGCAACCGGUUUUAGCGUCCAGGUCAAAGAAUUGCAAAUCCUUUCAUUUUAUUUCUUGCAACUUGGUAACUUGAGUGAGUAUAAGCUUCCUUGUUUCCUUCCUGCUGAGGCUCUCCCAUGGUUUGGAUGGAGUGGGUACCCAGUGGUGCUUCUCACACAAGUGGUACUUGAGCAGGACCCCCUAGUUCCGUGUGGCAUUUGGGCCUGUCCAGCAAGUGUGAAAUCUGGUUGACUUCUGUUUGGUGUUUUUUAAAUGACCGAGUCAGAGGGAGGGUAAAUUCACUUACCGCUCUGCCGCUGAUGUUUUCCUGAGAGCCACAUCUGGAGAGUACAGAGACUUUCCAGAACAGCCUUGAGGAUUGUGUCUGUUUCAUCAGACUGGGCUUUGCACAUGGCUUUGUAGAAAGGAGAGGAGUACAGUGGGAAGCCUGGUUUUGCAGUCAGAAAGGUCAGAAAGGGCUGGGUUUCCCCAUUAGCAGUGUGGCCUUGGGUAUGUCGCCUCUGUGGCUCCCAGUUUUCCCGUCUGUGAAAUGGAUUUAAUAAUUCUUGAACCUCUGAGGAGGGGUCUAGGCUUCCUGGGGACCUGUUGCAGGCAGAGAAGCUUGCUGGGAAUUCUUAGGACCUGGGUGAAGCUUCUUUGUUUUUGUUUUUUGUUUUUAUAUUAAAUAUAAUUUAUUAAAUUGGUUUCCAUACAACACCCAGUGCUCAUCCCAACACGUGCCCUCCUCAACGCCCAUCACCCGUUUUCCCCUCUCCCCCACCCCCCAUCAUCCCUCAGUUUGUUCUCAGUAUUUAGGAGUCUCUUACGGUUUGCCUCCCUCCCUCUCUAACUUUUUGUUCCCCCCUUCCCCUCCUCCAUGGUCUUCUCUUAAGUUUUUCAAGAUCCACAUAUGAGUGAAAACAUAUGGUAUCUUUCUCUGCCUGACUUAUUUCACUCAGCAUAAUACCCUCCAGUUCCAUCCACGUUGCUGCAAAUGGCACGAUUUCAUUCUUUCUCAUUGCCAAGUAGUAUUCCAUUGUAUACAUAAACCACAUCUUCUUUAUCCAUUUGUCAGUUGAUGGACAUUUAGGCUCUUUCCAUAAUUUGGCUGUUGUUGAAAGCGCUGCUAUAAACAUUGGGGUACAAGUUCCCCUGUGCAUCAGCACUCCUGCAUCCCUGGGGUAAAUUCCUAGCAGUGCUAUUGCUGGGUCACAGGGUUGGUCUAUUUUUAAUUUUUCAUUUUCAUUUGUUUCCAUAUAUUUUUUUAACUUCUCUAAUUGCCUGGUUGACCCACUCAUUCGUUAGUAGGGUGUUCUUUAACCUCCAUGCUUUUGGAGUUUUCCAGACUUUUUCCUGUGGUUGAUUUCAAGCUUCAUAGCAUUGUGGUCCGAAAGUAUGCAUGAUAUGAUCUCAAUUCUUGUAUACUUAUGAAGGGCUGUUUUGUGACCCAGUAUGUGAUCUAUCUUGGAGAAUGUUCCAUGUGCACUCGAGAAGAAAGUAUAUUCUGUUGCUUUGGGAUGCAGAGUUCUAAAUACAUCUGAUCCAAUAUAUCAUUCAGGGCCCUUGUUUCUUUAUCGACCGUGUGUCUAGAUGAUCUAUCCAUUGUUGUAAGUGGGGUAUUAAAGUCCCCUACAAUUACCACAUUCUUAUCAAUAAGGUUGCUUAUGUUUGUGAUUAAUUGUUUUAUAUAUUUGGGGGCUCCCNNNNNNNNNNNNNNNNNNNNNNNNNNNNNNNNNNNNNNNNNNNNNNNNNNNNNNNNNNNNNNNNNNNNNNNNNNNNNNNNNNNNNNNNNNNNNNNNNNNNNNNNNNNNNNNNNNNNNNNNNNNNNNNNNNNNNNNNNNNNNNNNNNNNNNNNNNNNNNNNNNNNNNNNNNNNNNNNNNNNNNNNNNNNNNNNNNNNNNNNNNNNNNNNNNNNNNNNNNNNNNNNNNNNNNNNNNNNNNNNNNNNNNNNNNNNNNNNNNNNNNNNNNNNNNNNNNNNNNNNNUUAAAGUCCCCUGCAAUUACCACAUUCUUAUCAAUAAGGUUGCUUAUGUUUGUGAGUAAUUGUUUUAUAUAUUUGGGGGCUCCCGUAUUCGGCGCAUAGACAUUUAUAAUUGUUAGCUCUUCCUGAUGGAUAGACCCUGUAAUUAUUAUAUAAUGCCCUUCUUCAUCUCUUGUUACAGCCUUUAAAGUCUAGUUUGUCUGAUAUAAGUAUGGCUUCUCCACCUUUAUUUUCACUUCCAGGAGCAUGAUAGAUAGUUUUCCAUCCCCUCACUUUCAAUCUGAAGGUGUCCUCAGGUCUAAAAUGAGUCUCUUGUAGACAGCAAAUAGAUGGGUCUUUUUUAAAAAAUCCAUUUUGAUACCCUAUGUCUUUUGAUUGGAGCAUUUAGUGCAUUUACAUUCAGUGUUAUUAUAGAAAGAUAUGGGUUUAGAGUCAUUGUGAUGUCUGUAGGUUUCAUGCUUGUAGUGAUGUCUCUGGUACUUUGUGGUCCUUGCAACAUUUCACUCACAGAAUCCCCUUAGGAUCUCUUGUAGGGCUGGUUUAGUGGUGAUGAAUUCCUUCAGUUUUUGUUUGUUUGGGAAGACCUUUAUCUCUCCUUCUAUUAUGAAUGACAGACUUGCUGGAUAAAAAAUUCUCGGCUACACAGUUUUUCUGUUCACCACAUUGAAGAUUUUCUGCCAUUCCUUUCUGGCCUGCCAAGUUUCAGUAGAUAGGUCUGCCACUAGUGUUAUCGGUCUCCCUUUAUAAGUUAGAGCGUGUUUAUCCCUAGCUGCUUUCAGAAUUUUCUCCUUAUCCUUGUAUUUUGCCAGUUUCACUAUGAUAUGUUGUGCAAAAUAUCAAUUCAAGUUACCUCUGAAGGGUGUUCUCUGUGCCUCUUGGAUUUCAGUGCCUUUUUCCUUCCCCAGAUCAGGGAAGUUCUCAGCUAUGAUUUGUUCAAGUACACCUUCAGCCCCUUUUUCUCUCUCUUCUUCUUCUGGAAUUCCUAUGAUAAUGGAUAUUGUUCCAUUUGACUGAAUCACUUAGUUCUCUAAUUCUCCCCCUCGUAAUCCUGGAUUUUUUAAUGUUUUUCUCAGCUUCCUCUUUUUCCAUAGUUUUAUCUUCUAAUUCCCCUAUUCUACCCUCUGCCUCUUCAGUCCACGCUGUGGCUGCCUCCAUUCUAUUUUGCACCUCAUUUGUGGCAUUUUUUAAUCCAUCGGGAGUAUUUUUUAGUCCCUUGAUCUCUGUAGCAAUAGAUUCUCUGCUGUCCUCUAUGCUUUUUUCAAGCCCAGCAAUUAAUUUUAUGAUUAUUAUUCUAAAUUCUUGUCCAGUUAUAUUGCUUAAGUCUGUUUUGAUCAAUUCGUUAGCUAUCACUUCUUCCUGGAGUUUCUCUUGAGGCGAAUUCUUCCGUUCCAUCGUUUCGGCUACUUUUCUGUCCCUUUUGCCUUUUAAAAGCUUGUUGUGUGCUCUGCCCGUGCCAGCACUGCUGUAUGAAAGGAGGGUCCCAUGCCGUCUGGGGCCUGGCCCUUCAGGAGGUGUCUCUUCAGAGAUAGUUACUUGCUCUCUGUUGUUGUGACUUUGGUUAUUUUAUUUCCUACUGAUAGUGAUGGUUUGGACCCUCCACCAGGUGUGCUUUGAUUCGUUCCUUGGAGUAGCCCUGGAAAGGAGAACGGACAGACAGGAGACGAAAACACGCACACACACACAAAACAAACAAACAAGUAAACAAAAACUAAAAACAAUCCAAAAGCAGAAAACCAGAAACACCUACUACAAGUAAAGAACAGGGUGGAGGUGCUGAUGGAAGAGAACAGACAAAGAGAGAAGUGAGAGGAGUGGGGGGGGGGGGGGGAUAAACACUGACCAGGCAGAGAGACUAAAAGGCUUAGUCCAGAGAGAGAGAGAGGAAAAUAAGGAAGGAGGCGGGGAAAAAGAAAGGAAGAUACAGUUACCCAGACAGAGAAACUAUACGGCUUGAUUAUUCCAGAGAGAGAGAAAGGAGCGUAAAGAAGGAGGUGUGGAACACGUGUCAAGAGAAUGCGUUAAAUUUGUCUGUUUAGACAGACCAAUAACCAGAGUAACCAGCCUGGGGGAGGGAAGAGACGAGGAGGAGAAAUGGGGCGGUGGGCAAGAAUAUAUCUCCAUAUCCAGAAGUGACCUAGAGUUAAUCCAGGCAACGCUGUGUCGCUGGGCUGGGGGAACCGUCCGCAGGGUCUGUCCAGCUCCGGGAGAUACGCGGUCACCCAGUGCGGAGGAGCGUGGUUUGGUGUAGGCUGGUCCCGCCUUCACGGUGGGCCCCAGGACUGAUCCCUGAGGCCCCACCGUGGUGGUGGUUGUGGGGUGGGGGGGGGGGGGGGGGGACGGCGAUCCCCCAGUCUCUUCUCCGCGGACCCGGUAGACCCCGUUUGAGUCGUCCUCACUGUGCCAUGGGCACAGAUGGGGGCGGUCCUUCUCGCUCCGCCAACUCCCCUGACCCUGCGCUUGGCUAGGAUUCAAAGUCCCGCUCCGCGUGCUCUGGUGCUGGGGAAGCGCCUCUCCAUGCGGCCUGAUACGUGGUCCCGGCUGGCCGUGUCUGUGCCCCCGCACUUCGGGGAGGACCGCCUUCUACUGUGGACCUCGCUACCAACCUCCCCACCGAACCCCGGGGGUGGUGGACGCAGGCAGGCUUUGUCUUUUCCCACAGCGCUCCAGGGAGGGGGCCGCUUUCUCCUACUGCGGACUGCGCCCCUGACCGACACCGAACCCGGCCGGCUCCCCUCCUCCCCAGGUGCGUGAACAGGGAGCCGGCCCCAGUCCGAUGAAAGCCCCACAGUUAGAGAUGGGAUCCCUCUGAGUCCCAGCCCGAGGUUUCUCUCUUGUCCAGAUACAGUCCUACGCUUCCCCAGCCGUUCUUUCUCUUCCCUUUGUCUCUCGCAAGAAGGGGAUCCCUCCCCUCCGUGCUACACGGCCCGUUUUAUCUCCCCCAGUUCACAGUCACCCACUUACCGUUUCUCAAGUUUCCCCAUUUUCUUCCCAGUAGUUUCAGUCUCUUUUCCUGCCAGACUCUUGGGGUUCAAAGUCCUUUGGCUUCAGCACUUCUUUGUCUGAGAGACACAGGAAGUGUGGAUCCCCUUACUUCUCCGCCACGUUGGCCCCCCUCCUCGAGAACCACGGGUGAGGCCUCUUUGAAUUUUCAAGAGACUGCCCGAGGGACCUGGCCCCAGGCCCUUGCCUCAGCGAGCGCAGGCGCCUUGGGGGAAGCCACGUCUCCCGUGGCGGCCGGGCCGCCUGGGGUGCUGAUGGCAGAGCUGUUAGGUGAGCACUGAAGGCUCCUGCUCGGGUCUGUUGUGAGGGCGCCCAGCGGGGCCCGGCCCUAGCAGUGCCCAGUGCAGGUGAUGCGUCGUGGUCACAUUCUGGGCUGACGUCCCGAAGACUCGGGCUCGGCUGCCCGCUCCCCAUCUUUCCACGUUGGCAUUUCCUGUCCUUGCCCCACCGGGCAGCGGUCCCUCACAUCCCCUUGGGCACUGGGACCAGAUACCGAGCAUCAGUUAAAUGGGAGUUGGUGGGGCCGCCACACGUGCUCCCCACCGGCACCUUCUGUCGCAGCAGUGUUGGCGUGUGCCCGCCGCGUGCUCAGCACUGGGUAGAGCGGUGAGCGGGUCUCGUGGGGCGACACAUCUACACGCUCUGCCACCAGGUAGUGCUGAGUGCCGCGAAGUACCAUAAAACAGGUGAAGUGGGUCUCUGCCUUCCCUAACGAGGGGACAUGGGAACAGUGUCGUAUCCGGUCCACGCAGGGUGCGUGGGGAAUGCCUCCGAGGAGGGGACAUCGCACGUGAGGCCUGAGCGGAUGAGCGAGUAGCCGUGGGGACUCUGGGGACACCCAGGGAAAGAGCACGAGGCCCAGGGAAGAGCAGGGAAGGGCCUGACAGGGUGUGCGGGUCCCAGCGGGAGAGCUUCCAAGGUGAAGGGAGUGGAAAAGGGGUGCAGCCCGAGUCCUGCCUGGGCUCUCGCCGCAUCGUGACCUCGCGGGGGUGCAUCUGUCGUGGAGAAUCGGGGCCUGUUACUUAGGAAUGACUUGUGUCCCUCCGACGCGCACGCUGGCAAGAAGCCUGCAGGUCCCUGCUCCCUCUGGGGCAACUGGCCGCUUGCCCUUGUCCCCUUGCGCCCUCCCCAGCCCUGCCCCUCUCAUCCGGCUGCCUGUGCUUCUGCUUACUCUCAGGGGCCCCUUCUCUCUCUGCCUGACCAGCUCCGUGCUGCUCUCCCCUUUAUUGUGCCACCAGCGUUGGGUCCUCAGAGGGGUAUUGUGAGCUUCUGCUCGUGUGUUCACGCAGACGGUGACGGCCUGCUGUGCGGCCUGUGUGCCGUGGGUCCCCGCACCCGGAGCUGCGGGCUGGCCUGGGCCCCGAGACACGCGGAGACAGUGAACCUGUGAGCUGCCCGGGGCUGUGCCUGUGCUUAGCUUUGUGACUGAGCACUCAGCUCUUGGGCCAGUGAGUUUUAGCGACCGGUGUGCUCGCAUUUGAGUUGCCCUUGUGAAAAUGUGGAAGAUGAGAAUGGGAGGAGAAUCCUUGGACGUUGGGAAGCUGGCUAGUCAGUGUGUGAGGCAGACGGUAAGAGGGGCUUUGUUAUUGGUCGUCGAUCCUUGUGAUGGGAUUCGUGGGAUGGGCAAAGGCAUCUUUAACCUUCGUGGCAGGAGAAGAAGUCUUCCUGCUUUUAAAACGUGUGUUUUUCUCCAUUGGAUGAAAGUUCUGCAACUCGUUCCAGAUUUUUGGGUUUCAGGUCAAAUCGUUGUGUUAAGGUCAAAUAGCUGUGUUAACAUGCACUCUACUCUUGGGGUAAAUGGUUAACGUAAAAAUAGGACUUGAAACCAGCCCUGCUUAUUCAUGUUUCUCUUAUUUUUAAAGGUUCAUAUCUAUUUUAAUUUUCUGUCCAGAAAGAUGGCAUUCAGACGGAACUGUUUAUCCCAAACCCGCCUGGCUGGGGGAAGAGCUGCUGGCCAGGCUGGCCAGGUGGUCUGUGGGGAGCAAGAAAAGUGGGUUUAAAAGCACCCUGUCCCUCAUUUCCAUCAUCGAAUACAGCAAGACUUACCAGGCGCUUAAGGAGAAGCAUAAAGACAUGGUCAAGGUAACUCUGGGGAAAACAUUUGUGACUCCCUUGUUCCGAUGGGUGACAGUGACCAGACAACAGGUCAGGCGGGUACAGUCGUUUCUCCCGUAGACCUUCCGGUUUAUCCCGACGCAGACAUCACGGCGGAACAUACCCACUUACGGGCCCCCACUGCAGGCAGGCUGUACUUCGACAUUUGUAUGGAUGCGAACCGCAAAAAUAUUGACAGAUGUGUUACGGAGAAGGACCUUUUUCUUUUGCGCUUUGCGAAUUUUUUUCCAAGCGAAUAAAAGGGAAUAUUUAAUUGAAAAUACUUAAAGAUUAGUUACUAAAUUGCCACAUUUCCUUAGGACGUACUUAAGGAUGUUUAAGGAGAAUAUAUAAAAACUUGGGGCGCCUGGGUGGCGCAGUCGGUUAAGCCUCCAACUUCAGCCAGGUCACGAUCUCGCGGUCCGGGUCACGAUCUCGGGGUCCGUGAGUUCGAGCCCCGCGUCAGGCUCUGGGCUGAUGGCUCGGAGUCUGGAGCCUGUUUCCGAUUCUGUGUCUCCCUCUCUCUCUGCCCCUCCCCCGUUCAUGCUCUGUCUCUCUCUGUCCCAAAAAUAAAUAAAAACGUUGAAAAAAAAAUUAAAAAAAAAAAACUUAAAGUACGAAAGCAUAUAUUUUCCGAAAGGAGAUACAUUUCAGAUCACGUCUAUCCCUGCAUAUUUUAGACAUAAAAAGAAGGUAGCAGCAGACGUCUGUGUUCACACCCAGAGGAGGAAAUAAAGCGUCACUAAUGGGGCUGAACUUCUCUUGUGCCCUUGCCAGGGUCCGGCCCUGUUCCUGGAAGGAACCAUGACCUGUCCUUUCCAUGUGUGGUUUUUUUCUCAGUUACCUGUGGUCGUGUAACAGGGUGCCCCAAAGGUCACAGGCUGGAAGCAGUGACCCUUCAUUAGGGCACCUGGCCGACCUAAGCUGGGACCCUCCUCUUCCAGAUGCUGGUCUGUGAGGCCUUCAUUAUCUUACUAACUGUUCGGUUCUUUCAAGAAAGGACCUUCUGUUAUUCCAGCCUUUGAAAUUGUCCUGAGUCACGCAGACUGCCCUGCCUAAUCCCCCAUGCCUAGAAACAGAAUCCAGAACAGGACAGAACAUGUAACCUUGUCGUUGGUGUUUCCUCUUCUGCCAGACGUCCUCUGCACGUUGCUAGUUUCGACGAUGGGGUGUCACGCUUGUGCAGCUGGUGUCGCACAGCUUUGAGAGCACCUGACCGUUGUCCUGUGUGGCGGCUGAGGUUUUCCCCUCAGGCUUUGUCCCUGCUUUACAGAUAGGGAGAUGGGGACCAGCUGACAGCCAGUCACCAACAGACUAGAGGGCUAGAGCUCUGACCUCCUGACCCUUUCGCUCUCCUCGCCCGGCGCCUUGCUCAUUUUCCUCAUCUACAUAAACAUCAGGGAUGGCAUGGCCGAGAGCUUUCCCCUGAUGUCCUGUGGUCUCAUCUGAAUGUCUUACAUGUGUUGUCCUUGUUGGAAAAUCCUGCCUUGGACGGCAUUGCCCUUGACGGGUCCUGUGAUGCAUCCAGGGUACAAGUUUUAUGUGUCUUGAUGCGGAUCUCUUACUGCAGCAGAGUGAUCAUAAGUGUCUGCUUUGCAAUGAGCUUAUUUUUUUAAGUUUUACAGCCUGAUGAGUUUGACUUGUGCCUUAUGGAGAUACUUAAGUGUAGCAAGAUGGCUAAGUGCUGGGAGAACAAUUUACAGACACUCUUAUUGAUUUCUCAGGUGUGGCCUGAAGUUACUGACCCUGAAAAGUUUGUGUAUGAAGAUGUGGCUAUUGCUGCCUACCUGCUGGUAAGGACCGCUGUCGUCAUCUAGGCUCCCGUGGGGCGGGGCAAGGUUGCCACUGGCAGAAGCUGUCAGCGGGGAACAGCGCGUACCGAAGGGAACAGCACGUAUCGAAUCCCCUACCUUGGGGCGUGUCUGGUUCUGCUUGCCAGGCUGGUAACAGGUGCAGGUUGGAUUUUGUGUGAGUGUCGAAUGAUCUGAGUCGUGCGAAGCCGAGCUGCGGGGACGCCAGCUUAGCAGGUGCCUGCUUGAUUCACCAUCGCCGUGGACACGCUGGGUGGCCCUCGCUGCUGGCGGGGCCCAUGUGAUAGGCACUUGCCUUCCAGUCCUGAAUCUUCCCUUAGCUAGCUCACCAGUCUUGAUUUUAGACUAGAUAAUUUCCAGUUUCCUUUCCUCUGUGAUUCUCAUCGCCCGUUUAGAAACAGCAUAUCUUGCUUUGAUUAUCAAAGUAGAUAGUCUUGAAGAACAUAGAGAAAGCACGAGGACACCAACAAACAAUAAUCUGUAAAGCUCUUGCCCAGAGAUGACCACUUCCAUGCGGACUCUUGAUGGAAGAAGAAAGCUUCAAUGCCCCCACAGCAUCAGGCAAGAGCAGGGGCCGACACCCCUUCCGCUCCCUCCGCUCACCUGUCCGACACCCACACAGAAGCCCAGGGCCACAGACGAGGCCUGUCUACCUGUUUUGGAAACGUGAUUUGUAAUCCCACAUGGGGUUUGUGUCUGAAUUACUCUUGGAAGAAGUGAAUCAGGAACUGAUUGUUUUGUUUUUGUUUUUGUUUUUUUUUAAAUUAGAUUCUGUGGGAAGAAGAAAGAGCUGAGCUGGGCCUGACAGCCAAGCAGUCCUUUGUUGACCUAGGAUGCGGAAAUGGUCUCCUGGUUCACAUCCUGAGCACCGAGGGGGUAAAGUGCACUUCCCUGGCCGUCUUGGCUCCUUUUCUAAAGUGUCUUCCGGUCCAGCACAAGGGCCCUUGAGCUCUUUCUCUGCCGGUACGACUCGUGACUGAGGAGAGCCGGCGGCCCUCGCGCCACAUAGAACAGGGCUCGCGGGCGCGCCUGUAGAACGACAGAGCCCACAGCACGGCGGUUUCUGCUGUCAGGUGCCUCUUCGGGACACUGGAAGGGAGUGGAAGGGAGUUGAGGCACUGGAAGGGAGUAAAGGGCAAGGUGGAUUCUGCCCUCCAGAAGCUUGAGGCCAGCUCGGAGGACAGUUUUUACACUGUGAUGUAACACUGCCAUACCGAGUCUUGCACCAUUUUCUGGACCCAUGAAGUAAAGGCAGGAAGUGCUUAGAGCAGCCCCCGCCUCCGGGAGCGGUUCCGUGUAAGUGCGAGCCACGACCCGCCCAGGCUGGUGCUUCCGGCUGGCGUCAGCCUUCCUGUGGAGUCACCGAGCGGAGUCGCCUUAGCUUGGCAGCUUCACACUUCGUCAUGGGGACCACGGCUGAUUUGGUUUUGUUUUUAAUGUUUAUUUUUGAGAGAGAGACAGAAAGUGUGAGUGGGGCAGGGGCAGAGAGAGGGUGACACGGAAUCCGAAGCAGGCUCCAGGCUCCGAGCUGUCCGCACAGAGCCCGACGUGGGGCUCGAACCUAAACUGUGAGAUCAUGACCUGAGCCCAAGUCGGACGCUCAACCGACUGAGCCCCCCAGGCGCCCCGCCCCGGGAGCUGAUUGAGCUGAUUUCUUCUGAGGGUAGCAUUGUUUCCUGUCUCAGAGACGUUCUGUCCACAACUGUAGGAACUUAAAACAGGGCUGUUACAAUGUACCUUUAAUUGCUCUAUAAAAAAAAACAAGGUCGGGGCACCUGGGUGGCUAUGUUGGUUAAGCGUCCGACUCUUAAUUUGACUCUUAAUAUUGUCUCGGGUCGUGAUCUCACGGUUCGUGAGUUCGAGCCCCAUGUUGGGCUCUGUGCUGACAUCUCGGAGCCUGCUUGGGAUUCUCCCUCCCCUCCCUCUUUCUCUCCCUCUAUCUCUGCCUCUCCCCCUCUUGUACGUGCUCUCUCUCUCAAAAUAAACAAAAAUUAAUAACAAAAAUAGAAAACUGAGUUUGUAAUUCUAACAGCUGUGCCCCAGUUGUCUGUGGGAUGUCGGCACAUCAGGUGGUGACUGCAGGCUGGUGGGUGAGGAGGACGGGGUUCCUUGUGCAUCCCCUUCUCCGCCUGACUUGGAAAUAAGCACGGUUGCCCUGGAGAGCUGGCGGGCGCGGGCACGGCGUGCCUGGUAAGGAGCAGCCGAGGAGGACGAGCCUUGCCUGCCGGCAAGCUGGAGGAGCAGACGUGCUGGGGUCUGCACUUGACUCUGGGGCCCUGGCCCUGGACGUGUGCCCGCUCCUUGACUGCAUUUCCCCUUCGUGAAGACUCCCGGUGACCCUUAGCGGGGCACAGGUUCUUAACCUGCGCCUUGGGGGGGGUGAGAGUGUCUGUUGGCAUUGCCGAGAAACCGCGGGGGUUGAGGGUCUCUUGUGCUUCACGCCGGUGGCAGUACCUGCAGAGUCGGAUCUGUUCUCGCCAGUUUGUAAUAAUGCGCUGCCGUUAACCUUGGAUUUCUGAAACUGUUUCAGCACCCAGGCAGAGGGAUCGAUGUCCGAAGAAGAAAGAUCUGGGACGUGUAUGGACCGCAGACUUGCUUAGAGGUACUGGCUUUGUUCACUUGCUUGAGCCCAGCGGGUUGUCCCCCGGUGACCCUUGUUUUGCCGAGUGUCCAGGGGCCUGGUGCGUGUUACCCAGUCCUCACACGGGGCCAGGUGUCCAUCCCCUGUUGUCCCCGCCGCCGGCAGGGCAGGACACACGCAUAUCUGUUUGUCCCACCUCCUGUUCUCGACUGUGUUUUUGGAUGACAAGUUACGUUAUGUAAAUCUUUGUGCAGAAAUCUUAGGUGAUAAACCUUAAUCCACUUAAGACAAAUCUGUCAUAGGCUGAACUUUAAAACUUUUUUUUUUUUUUUUAACAUCUUUUUAUUUUUGAGACAGAGACAGAGCACGAACAGGGGAAGGUCAGAGAGAGGGAGACACAGAAUCCGAAACAGGCUCCAGGCUCUGAGCUGUCGGCACAGAGCCUGCUGAUGUGGGGCUCGAACCCACGAACCGCGAGAUCGUGGCCUGAGCCGAAGUCGGAUGCCCAACCGACUGAGCCACCCAGGCGCCCCUAAAACGUUUUUAAUGAUACUGUCAUGUUGGUUUUCAGAAAGGUUUUCUUUCAAACACUUUCAUUUCAGGAAGAAUUUCGCAUGCCGUAAGAUACGCGUUCAGGAAAACAGAAAAAACUAGAGAUUUGCAUAUUUACCGAAUAUUUGAGUGCCGUCUUCCUGCCAGGCACUCUCAGGUGUUGAUGCACGUGCUGCCCUCACGGGGGUGGGAGGCGCCCCCAGGUACAGCGUGGGUACGGGGAGCCAGCUGUGACGUGUGGAGCAGGGUUGAAGACCUGAGCGGGGCGGGGAGGGCGAGGGUGCCACUGUGGGGCAGGUCCUGCUGUGUGCGUGGUGGCCCCAGGAGGGCCGCCCUGCAGGAGGGCUGGUGGUGAGAAGUCCGGGGAGAGAAGGUCAAAUGCAGCCGGCUGGGGGGCCGCGGACAGGGGCGGCACAUCUGCUCUGAGCCCAUGCCUGUGGGGCCAGGGUGAACCCAGGUCACUCCCUCCUUGCUCUGGAGUAGCUCCCUCGCCCUGCUACCAAUCAGAAUGUGUUCCAAGGGGGAAAGUGACCGGCCCCCUCAGCACUCCCACGUCAGGUGUGGAUGGUGUCGGCAUCUGGUCGAGGCCUCCGAGCUGGCCGGCCGGCGGGGUGCUCAGCGGUGGGGUCCACGCCCUUCGCUCCUCCCCGCCACCCAGCUCUGCUCAGCUGCCCCGGUUGCCUCAAGGCCUUCGUCCUGGACUUAAGUGCAGGGUGGGACAGGACACGGGUUCUCCUCCCCAGAGGGCAGAGUGCCGACAGGACUCUUCAUGUGUUGAUUUCCGGGAGAAGAGCCUGGCGCCCCAGAGCUCACGGCCUCGGCAGGUGCUCUCUCAGCCCUCCCGUGGCCCCGCUGCCCUCGUGAGGCAGGGCUCAGCUCUGUCGUUCCAUCUGCAAAUAGGAAAUAAAAGUGACACCAUUUCUGUAUUUUUCUCUCCGCCUCACUUUUAAAGUUGAGAAUAAUAUUGAAAAAAAUACUGCAAAAGAUAAAAAAGAUUAGCCUCCGGAGGGAGGUUCAUUGCAGGCUUCGCUCAUGUUUUCCUUGUAUGUUUGUGUUUUGCUUUGUGAUGUAAGAAUUUGCACUUGCUUAUACAUUCAUACGUCAAAAUAGGUUAAAACGUUGAGAAAAACCUCAGGUUUGAAGAAAGUUGAGGAACCGGUCGACGGACUUGGGGGGGCUCUGCAGACGUGCAGACAGGUGCACACAGACCAUGCGUCACCUGGUCAGUCAGGCUCUGGGUUUAGUGCGAGGCCGAUGAGCAGAGCCACAGGAGUUACGUGGUUGGUUUCAGAAUUCCCUGUGUCCCUGUGUUCUGUGAAAAAGCAGAAUAAUUUCUUUGGGUAAGAAGUUCAAACAGCAGUUGAACAGGCCCUCUGUUUAGUCGUGACCCCAGGGCAGAGCUGGCUGGCAUGAGGUGCCCCUUGGAGAACGGGGAGAAGGUUCUAGUUCUUUAUUUGAGGUUCCCCAGCACCCCGACUUUUCUGUGGAGGGGGAAACUGCCCCAGCCCGCUCCUUCCAGGCCUGCUCAGAAGGUUCUGGGUUCUCAUCUCAUGUGGAUCUUCUUGUUACACCUGGACCUUCAGUCGUGGUGUCGAGUCCUGCCUGUUCUCAUGUGCGGCGUGAGGCUGGAUGCUGACCACGUUUCUGUUACACCUGCUGCAGGGGAACACAGCCAGAAAGGAGCGUGCUUUUGUUGGCGUGUAUGAGUGUUUGUGUAUAUGUCCUGGUGUGUGAGUCAUUGCCAUGAACAGGGACAGUCCGUACAAUGGCUGAGCAUGAGUUUACAGCUUCUUCCAAAAACCCUAUUUGAUUGUGAGCAAGAGACUGUUAAGAAAAAAACACUAGUUUAAAAAAGUUUUUUUAAUGUUCAUUUACUUUUGAGAGAGAGAGAGAGAGAGAGACAGGGCAUGAGCGGAGGAGGGGCAGAAAGAGAGAGGGAGACAACGGAAUCCGAAGCAGGCUCCAGGCUCUGAGCUGUCAGCACAGAGCCGACGCGGGGCUCGAACUCACUGCGAGAUCAUGACCUGGGCCAAAGUCGGACGCUCAACCGACUGAGCCACCCAGGCACCCCCAAAACACCUGUUUUAAAUAACAUGUCGCACGGAUCACAAAACGUCUUAAUUGUGUUAUGAUGUUGUAUAGGAAGGGGAACUGCUACAAUUUGCUGUGUUCAAGAUGUUGAUGAAACAGGCCUCGAACUGUGAUGAUGGCGGUCGUGAACCGUAAACCACGUGUUUGUUAAUGCAGGCCUUUAAACGGAAAUACACGAAUUUUAAUAUGUGUGUAAAUAGAAGCACAGAUGCUGAAUUUAAGAACCAGAAAGAUUGCAGAAUUCAAAUUCUACUUUUGUAUACAUCACGUCUGCAAAAGGCACGUGGUUCUGUUGUCGUAAGGAACGGCCUCGGACGGGAGUGUUGUCCUAACGUCUUCCCGCUUUGUUCUGGCCGGGGGGUAGCAGGUGUGCCUACUUCCCUCGGGGGGUCGUUCUUCAGUUUUAAAACAAGGAGGAUUUUGAGUGGUCGCGUGUAUCUUUUUUGUCUCCAGCUCUUACCGACAGACCUGCUAUUGGGCCCGGACUUGAAUCGUGGGUGAUGGUCUGCUGCUUAGCAGAAAGAAUAGGGUGUUUAUGUAGAGUUCUUAAAUCACAGAACGAAGCUGUUUUCAGUCUAGUUACAGAGGUUAUCAGAACGGUUAACACGCCUCCGCAGUGGGAUUUUACUUGGCCUCUGAGUGUUUAUAAAAGAUAAUCACGUGAUAGCAGCAUAUUUGCUGUUUCUGCGUAAACUCCGGCAGUUUUUCUGGCCUCACCCCUCACCUUUCACGGGUCUGGAGGUUGUGGGAUGCGUUGUGGCUCUCAGCAGAUCAACUUCAGGCCAGCUUGCUUCCGCUUUCCUGCCCCCGUAUUCUGCCCACGUGGAGACAGUUCCUGUGUCCCCUCUCCUGAUGUUCAUGUAGAGAAACGCUUUUUUUUUUUUUAAGUUUGCUUAUUUAUUUUGAAAGAGAGAGAACAGAGGAGGCGCAGAAGGAGACAGAGAGUCCCCAGCAGGCCCUGCGCUGUCAGCACAGAGCCCGGCUCGAGGCUGUGUGUCACGAACCUUGAGAUCACGACCUGGGCUGAGGUCAAGAGUCGGACGCCUCGCCGACUGAGCCACUCAGGUGCCCUGAGAAGCACAUGGUUAAGGGUCCAAAAGAUUAGUAAUCAGCGUUUUUAGUUUCUCUAGUGACGAUGCUGUAAGUUGCUGUAUUUCAUGCCCCCUGGGCAGACGCGGGCCCUGUGCUCAGGGGACCGCCUGUACCCAUGGGGCCCCGAGGGGCUGAGGUCACCCCAAGCAAGCUGCGGUUCCUUGGGGCCUUUGCCUCAGUAGCUCUGUGCCGCUCUACUAAACGGCGGUCUUAUCUUGUGUUUUUCUUUUAGGAAGGUGCAAUCACACCCAGCGAUGAGACCCUUUUCCCUGACGUUGACUGGGUAAUUGGUAACCAUUCCGAUGAACUGACACCGUGGAUACCUGUGAUCGCAGCCAGGUGAGUAAGUGUCCCGCACAGCAGGGCGGGCGGCGGGAGGGAUUUUGUUGCCUAAACCUCGCUGUCCAGAAGUAGCCACUCGCGGCUGUGGAGCACUGGACACGGAGCUCGUUCGGACUGCGGGGAUGAGAACGUGCCGAACGUGCCGGUUUAGGGUUACGUUCUGACUGCUUCUUAAAAAAACUUUUUAAACGUUUAUUUUUGAGAGAGAGACAGAGAGAGCGUGAGCCAGGGAGGGUCAGAGGGAGAGGGGGAGACACAGAACCCCAAGCCGGCUCCAGGCUCUGAGCUGGCAGCACGAGCCCCACGCGGGGCUCGAACCCAGGAACCGCGAGAUCAUGACCCGAGCCGAAAUUGGGCAACCGACUGAGCCACCCAGGCGCCCCAUCUAACCGCUUUAUUUCACUGUUUGAGACAUGGCCAGAAGACGUCGAAGUACAUCUGGAUAGUGCUGACGAAAGCUGACCAUUUCCGCGGUAUUUCUGUCCGGGGAGACGGGUCGUGUUUUGGAAGUUGUUUUCUGAUAACAGGAGUGAGUGUCUCCAGAGGGAAAAUCUGCCAACACAGGGACGCCUCGUUCACAGAGGGGGGCCGCGGGUCGGCGGGGCCCUUGCGAGCACGCAGCUUGUGGUGGCGGCCCGGGUGUUUCCUGAUCCAGGCGUCUCGUGAGGCGUUGCGGCUCUCGCGGAGCAGCGUGGCCCGCGGAGCAAGUCUUAACGUAACCUUCCUCGUGCCCGCCUCUGAGAUCUCGCUCCCAGCCGAGAUCCCAAAACGCCUCGGGGAGUUCCACGUUUCGAGUCAGUAAGAACAACGCAGCGGAACGCACUUUGUACGGGCAGUUAGGCUCCUGGUCCGUGGGAGGCGUAGACCACGCCGCGCCGUCUCUGGGAGCCGAGCGAGGGACAGCUCGAGCUCGGGCUCCGCUCCGGAACAGCCAGGGGGAGCAGACGCUUCUGCUUCACCGCGGUGCACGAUGGCCACGUGGCUCUGCGCUGAGUGUCUUGUUUUGGGGAUUGUUUUUGAAGGUCUUGUUACAGCUGCCGUUUCUUUGUCCUUCCCUGCUGCUUCUUUGACUUCGUGGGGAAAUACGCCCGGAGGCAGAGCAGGAAGACUCAGUACCGAGAGUAUCUCGACUUCGUGACCGAGGUGGGGCUGGCCUGCGGGUUCCACGUCCAGGAGGACUGCCUGCGCAUUCCCUCCACCAAAAGGGUGCGUCCCGACCGCUUGGGGCGUCCUCGGGGGCCUCGGUGCGGCGUCGGCCUCCGGGGGGAGGGUCCGGGGCCGUGUCGCAGAGCCACAGGGGACCCCGUGACGUUCGCGAGCCCGUGCCGAUCCCGGCAUCUCGGACGCUGGUGGGGGUCAGCGGGCUCGCUCUGUCCCCGCGGCCCCCGCUCUGAAGGCCUUCUGGCGGUUCCUUCCCCAGGCCCGCAGCAGCGCUGCAGGGAGCCCUCAGCGAAUCCUCAUUUCCUUCCCAGAAACCGUGAGUGGCCCUCGGGGACCUUCCCAGAGUGGGCGUCGGCCGGACUCGUGCGGGACGUCCCAAGCUAGUUUGUCCGAGGCCGCUCACCACCUCCGGGGUCCUCGGGUUUCCCGGUCACGGGCCGAACCCGAAGUUUGGUUCCGGGUUCAGAGCGGUUCAACGUCUCGUCCCGCGCUUCAGUAAUUCCGACGUACCUGCGAUGCGGUUUGCCCAGGCAGACGCCGCCCCUGCCGCGGUCUGUGACCGCAGCACCCGUGCCCCCUGAGACCCUGCCAGCGGGCCAGUCCCCUGGAGAAGUCGAGGGAGGUGCCACCGUCAGCCUGCGUUCGUGUCGGUGGCUUCCUCUCAUCGGACUCUGUGGCCGUCUGGCUUCUCACCAUCAGCAAAGCGCAGGAACCCGUCACACCCACAUCGUGAGUUUGAGCGCUCGAUGUGGCACAGAGGACCCAGGGCAGGUUUAGGUGAACUCUCGGCCCUGGCACCGCCUGGCCGUGAACUCCGGGGCACGUUGCACACCGCAUCCGUGCCCUCGUCUGUCCGGGGGGAGGGGGGGCCCUUCUGGGCUCGUCUCACAGACUACGUAGAACGGCGCCUUCGUCGAAGGGCUCCGUGGUGGCCGAGAGGGGCCCACGAUGGCCGCAGGUACGUCAUUGCUGCCGAUGCUGCCACUGCUCACGUCACCGUGAGAGCGUUCUCGGGGACCCUGCUUCAGAGACACGAUGUCCUUCUCCUAAAUGCCCUCUGCCUUGGCAAACCGCCCUGCUGAGGCUGGGAUCGAUUCUGCCAACUGCUCGAAUUCGGGUCACGCGGGUGGGUGUUUGCACUGGUCUUUCCAGUACUAGUUGCUGGAGACCACGCACCGGUCCUUGAUCUCUCUGAGCCUCGGCUUUCUCGUCACCCUGUGGCUCUGGGGGCAAACACAAGAGCAGAUGUCCACAGGUGGCAGCUCUUUGGUGAGGACUGGUUCUGCCCGGCACGUCAGGGGACGGGCCCCGGAUCACGCCUCUGGCAGGUGACAGAGCCGGAGAGCGGUCCAGGGGCGGCUCUCGUGUAAUUAGAUUCGCUGUCUUUCGUUGCCCCUAAGCUGGCUGUGUGGUUCGUGGCCAGGAGGAAGUCCAGAGAUGCCGUGCUCGGGGCGGCGUCCUUGCCCGGGGGCUCCAGUGCGCGGGCAGCCGUCGUCAUCCUGUGUGGACGUGCAGGAAGGACAGUGCACGGAACGGACGUCCGUGCCGUGCCAAGUGCUGCCUCCCCUCUGGCAAGGUCGACAGAGGGACGUCCCGUUUUGAGAGCUCUGGGUGCCGUCCGUGUCUGCACCUGAGGGAGGGGGUGCCGGAUGAAGGCUCCCGCGAGCGACGUGUUCAGAACAGGCACGGCUGUGAGCUCGGUGCGCGUGCACUCGUACGCGUCUCGUAGGUCUCUGAGUGUCCGAGCCGCGAGACUCUUCGUGGGCUUUGGCUCUUGGUUUAUUUGGGACACUGGUAUUGGUAUUGGCUUUUAAAGUAAGCAUUUCUUUCACGAUAAGCGUCUAAAAUUUGAACGUAAUUUGUACCGCAGAACGAGAGACGCGAAUGGAAAACGCGACUUGCCACGGGAUCCUGGUAAAACACUCUGCUUUUUUCACAUGCAGGUUUGUCUCAUUGGGAAACGCAGAACAUACCCCCCCACCGGAGAAGCCCUCAUGGAUGAGCAGAGAACCCGGUACAUUAAUAGCAGGCAGGGCUGCCCCGUGAGCCCGCCCGGCCGGGAGCCUCCCCAUCCUCCUCCCCGGGCCGCCGUGGCACGUACGGGUCGCCCCCACGGGCGCCAGGCCCUGGACGCCGGGGCCGCCGAGGAGGGGGCAGAGGCCCGGGCCGCCGGACUCUGGCUGUCUGGAUUUCACCCUAGAGAAAAAGCCGAGCGCGUGAGGAAUUGCGCUGCCCUCCCUCGAGACUUUGUUGACCAGGUGGUUUUGCAAGUGGGACACCUGCUGUUGGAUGCAGAGCGGCCGUGCGCAGGAAGUGCUCCGAGCGGGAGCUUGAAGGCCUGGAACCGAGGAGGUAGGCCCCCGGGACUCUGCCGCGUGCCUGCC